GAUGAACGCUAGCGGCAGGCCUAAUACAUGCAAGUCGAACGGUAACAUAGUCUUCGGACUGAUGACGAGUGGCGCACGGGUGCGUAACGCGUAUGCAACCUACCCUUGACAGGGGGAUAGCCCGAAGAAAUUCGGAUUAAUACCCCAUAGUAUCCUUUGAUGGCAUCUGAAGAGGAUUAAAGAUUUAUCGGUUAAGGAUGGGCAUGCGUGACAUUAGCUAGUUGGUGAGGUAACGGCUCACCAAGGCUACGAUGUCUAGGGGUUCUGAGAGGAUGAUCCCCCACACUGGUACUGAGAUACGGACCAGACUCCUACGGGAGGCAGCAGUAGGGAAUAUUGGUCAAUGGGCGAAAGCCUGAACCAGCCAUGCCGCGUGCAGGAAGACAGCCUUCUGGGUUGUAAACUGCUUUUAUACAGGAACAAAUAGUCCAUGCGUGGAAAGUUGAGUGUACUGUAUGAAUAAGCACCGGCUAACUCCGUGCCAGCAGCCGCGGUAAUACGGAGGGAGCAAGCGUUGUCCGGAAUCACUGGGCGUAAAGGGCAUGUAGGCGGAUUGUUAAGUCAGAAGUGAAAUCUACCCGCUUAACGGGUAAACUGCUUUUGAAACUGGCAGUCUUGAGUUCUGGAGAGGUGGGCGGAAUUCCAGGUGUAGCGGUGAAAUGUGUAGAUAUCUGGAAGAACAUCGGUAGCGAAGGCUGCUCUCUGGCCAGACACUGACGCUGAAAUGCGAAAGCGUGGGGAGCGAACAGGAUUAGAUACCCUGGUAGUCCACGCCCUAAACGAUGGAUACUAGGUGUUGGGGGUAUUGACCCCCUCAGUGCCGUAGCUAACGCAUUAAGUAUCCCGCCUGGGGAGUACGAUCGCAAGGUUGAAACUCAAAGGAAUUGACGGGGGCCCGCACAAGCGGUGGAGUAUGUGGUUUAAUUCGAUGCUACGCGAAGAACCUUACCGGGGUUUGAAAUACAGUGGAAAGCUCUGCGAAAGCAGAGCCCCCUUCGGGCCGCUGUACAGGUGCUGCAUGGCUGUCGUCAGCUCGUGUCGUGAGAUGUUGGGUUAAGUCCCGCAACGAGCGCAACCCUUGUCCUUAGUUGCCAUCAGGUUAUGCUGGGAACUCUAAGGAGACUGCCUCGAUCAACGGGGAGGAAGGUGGGGAUGACGUCAAGUCCUCAUGGCCUUUAUAUCCCGGGCUACACACGUACUACAAUGGCCAGUACAACGGGUUUGCAAUACCGUGAGGUGGAGCUAAUCCCACAAAACUGGUCUCAGUUCGGAUUGAAGUCUGUAACUCGGCUCCAUGAAGUCGGAAUCGCUAGUAAUCGCGGAUCAGCAUGCCGCGGUGAAUACGUUCCCGGGCCUUGUACACACCGCCCGUCACGCCAUGGAAGUCGGUAGUACCCGAAGUCGCUGGUCUAACCCUUCGGGGAAGAAGGCGCCUAAGGUAAGAUCGAUGACUGGGGCG
rnacentral:rRNA from 1 species